GGAGUCGGCCAGACGAUCGCUGCAUUUCUCACGAGAUGCGGAGGAAAGUCCGGGCUCCUUCGGACACGGCGCCAGGUAACGCCUGGGGGGCGCGAGCCCACGGAAAGUGCAACAGAAAGAUACCGCCGAUGCGCAAACUCCCCUCGCGGGAGGGAUCGCAGGCAAGGGUGAAAUGGUGCGGUAAGAGCGCACCGCGCGGCUGGUAACAGUCGUGGCACGGCAAACCCCGCCGGGAGCAAGGCCAAAUAGGGAAGUCGCAGGGAAACCUGCAGCGCGGUGUCCGAGCG
rnacentral:RNase_P_RNA from 1 species